GCGUUCAAGAUCGUAGCGGCUACGUAGGGCUCGGUAGCGCUACGAUCUUGAACGAUGUGCUAGGUUAGCCCCUACGUAGGGAAAGCUAGCAUAAAAAUUUAGUGCUAGAUUCUAAAGCAAAAUGGCGGAAAAUUCGAGAUCUUACUGAAAUGAGAAUGAUUUUAGCUUAUAUGAACGAUAAUAUUCGGAACAAGUAAAAUCUUUCCGGAAUACGUCACCGCGAUUGUUUUAUUCUACUACUAGAAGUUGUUUACGGGAUUCGAAAAGGCGAGACAAGAAGAACCACUGUGAGUUUGUUACAACUGGCUUUGGGCUGCAUUCUCAAACACACACUCUUUAAGUCAUAAGGCAGUUGGAUUUGGUACUGGUGAAGGUUGAAAUCAUGGUUCUGAAGAAUGAGUUAUGAUGGAAGUGAUACAAUGAUGGGACAUUUAACAUCAUACCAGAAUUAAAGAGUCAAUAAAAAGAUUCUUGAAUGAUCAACUUCCAUUGGGGAUGAAGGAUGAAUGAAAAAUCUGUAAAUGAUAUUUUGAUUCAAAUUAAGUAAUAUUUUAUAUAUAAUGAUUCAGAAACAUGCUUGCUACCCAAUCUCGCAUGUAUUAAAAAUUAUGCAUGUUGCAUAAACAGUAUCCGUUGCAUUAGAUUAGAAUACAACUUUAUUAUGAUAUAAAGAAUUUAAAAAAAAAAAAAAUAAAAUUAAUAUGACA